rnacentral:rRNA from 1 species
UUGGCGGACGGGUGAGUAACGCGUGAGUAACCUGCCUUUCAGAGGGGGAUAACGUUCUGAAAAGAACGCUAAUACCGCAUAACAUCAAUUUAUCGCAUGAUAGGUUGAUCAAAGGAGCAAUCCGCUGGAAGAUGGACUCGCGUCCGAUUAGCCAGUUGGCGGGGUAACGGCCCACCAAAGCGACGAUCGGUAGCCGGACUGAGAGGUUGAACGGCCACAUUGGGACUGAGACACGGCCCAGACUCCUACGGGAGGCAGCAUG